UAUCACCUGUAUGACAAGUUGAGUAUAUUGCACUUGGAUGUGAAUCAUGAACAGGUAGACGGUUGGCUCUGCUCUUCUAUGGACUCACUGCAUUAAUUCCAGACUCAGUAGAGAUACCUGACAGCAUCAGGCUUACUGAAACUCAGUACUUCUAGGAUCUAGUGAUCUACCAGUCUCAGCCUCCUCACAAACAGGCAUUGCAGGGAUGUUAGUUUCAAGAAUUAUAAAGAGUGUCAAAAUAUCCUUACUUUCUUCAGAGAGGUCAUUUUCUUCUGCUUCUCUUUCCAUCUC